GCAAGAUUCGUAGCUGCCGCGCCGGUUCGCCCUUACAAGGUGAAGGUCGGCGGUUCGAGACCGUCAGCACGCACCA
rnacentral:tRNA from 1 species